GGGUCGUUAGCUCAGUUGGUAGAGCGUUUCGUUUACACCGAAAAUGUCGGCGGUUCGAGCCCGUCACGACCCACCA
rnacentral:tRNA from 3 species